UUCAACCCCCUCUAGAUGCCGCUCCGCCUCCCUAUGAGUCCUCCUUAGUCGGAAAAUUGGGCCGAGUCUAGGGCUUCCGGCGUAAACGCGCUCGAGCAGUUCAAGAUCUCCGCAGACCCGUUUGCAAGUGCUCGGUGGUUUCAGACUGUGAGGUCGAUCUGGCAAUUCAUGGGAAUGAAUCGCUGGUGAGUUAGGAGCUCAAGUUUUCUUCUUGGUCCUCGAAUGUUUUCCAUUUUUCGAUGUUUAAAGAGUCAUGAACGGAUGUUACACUACAUAUAAGAUAUUAUUACUUUUUUGUCUUCAAAUUGAUCUUACUAUUAUUUUGUUUUUGAGUUGCCGUGAAUCAGAAGUUAACUUCGCUUUUAAAUUAUAGUGAAAAGAAUAAUUUUGCUUGCUU